rnacentral:lncRNA from 1 species
ACUUCAUCCUCAAGUUGUUUGUCUUGUAUGGAGAACUCCUUCAUUCUGUCUUCAAGUAUACCUGCAUCACCAUCUUCUUCUUUUCUAGAAGAAUCUCCAUUAGCUUCAUCAAAAACAACAUGAAUGGAUUCUUCAACAAUGAGAGUUCUCUUGUUGAAGACCCUGUAUGCUCUACUAGAUGAGGAAUAACCUAAGAAGAUCCCCUCAUCUGAUUUAGCACUAAAUUUACUUAGAUUGUCCUUUCCAUUAUUUAAAAUA